rnacentral:tRNA from 2 species
GCGGGAAUAACUCAACGGUAGAGUGUCAGCUUCCCAAGCUGAAGGUUGCGGGUUCAAGUCCCGUUUCCCGCUCCA